rnacentral:rRNA from 1 species
GUGGGGAAUCUUAGACAAUGGGCGCAAGCCUGAUCUAGCCAUGCCGCGUGAGCGAUGAAGGCCUUAGGGUUGUAAAGCUCUUUCGCUGGGGAAGAUAAUGACUGUACCCAGUAAAGAAGCCCCGGCUAACUCCGUGCCAGCAGCCGCGGUAAUACGGAGGGGGCUAGCGUUGUUCGGAAUUACUGGGCGUAAAGCGCGCGUAGGCGGAUUGGAAAGUUGGGGGUGAAAUCGCGGGGCUCAACCUCGGAACUGCCUUCAAAACUCCCAGUCUUGAGUUCGAGAGAGGGGAGUGGAAUUCCGAGUGUAGAGGUGAAAUUCGUAGAUAUUCGGAGGAACACCAGUGGCGAAGGCGGCUCACUGGCUCGAUACUGACGCUGAGGUGCGAAAGCGUGGGGAGCAAACAGGAUUAGAAACCCGUGUAGUCC